CUACCCGCAUUUCAUCUCCUUUAAUUUUUCUUAAGGCAUUUGGUCAUGGAAUUUCACAAAAAGUAUUUAACCUCCAUAUUGAAGCAAGGUUUUGUUUGUUUGUUUGUUUUGUUUUGUUUUGUUUUGUUUUUUUUAAACCUCGAACGCCCAUUUUUUACAGCCUUUCCUUGUGGCCACAGUGUCAUCUUAAUGACCUCUCCGGCCUCUACAAGCUGCCUUAAAUUCUUUGAGUCUAGAUUUUUUUUUUCCUUUGCAUAGAAUCCAGUAGCUGACACAUUGAGCUAGAUACAUACCACAACAGAAUAUUUGUCUCUUGCCUAUGAGUUAAAAACAAACAAAAAAACAUUCCAAGGAACUCGCGGAUUUGUAAAACCAUAGCUCAGCUAGGGUUGCUGGGCACUGUAUGCUCCAAUGCAGUAAUUUGCAUACGAAACUUUAUUUACUGACUUGAUCUUCAGCCAGAGUCCGCACUUGGUUUCUAGCAGAAUUGCAGGUAACUAUUAUUUCCUUGUAUGGACAGGACACGGUUUUGACUCACUGAUAUUUUUGGUAACUUGAAGCCUUCAUUGAAUUUGAUAGCUGGAGCUGAGUCUCAGACUGAUCAUUAGAAGUCUUAGGAUGCAAUUAGCCCCGUCACCCACAACCCAAUGCCCAGAACCCUCCCCAACCCGUCUGCUCUACCGGAGCUAACUUCCCAGGACCCUAAAGCAGCUUAACCCUCUCAGGGCUCAGGGCGUGCAGUAUCUCUUGGGGGUUCAGGUCUGACUCUGUUAGCACAGCAUCCGUGCAGCCGCCAGGGGGACCCCGACCCACCCAGGCUGCAUCUGAUAAGAAAGCAGCCGAGGGGCGUGGAACCGAGGGGCCUAUGUCUCCUGCUUCCAGAAAACAGAGUCCGCCGGGGACCCCCAGUUCUUAUUAGGACAGGAGGGGCAGGGAUCUCCCGUUCUGGAACCCGGGUCCAGCCGUGAUGAGAAGCGAGUGGGUGUGUCCGCUUCCGCCCGCUGGCCUUCAGACGAAGCAGAGCGCCUGGAAGCGGUACUUUGUUCCCGAAAUGGGUUUUGUAUGCGCGCCAUCCCGGCGCUAGAAGUACAACUUUGCAGCCAGGGCGCCGGGCAGCUGGGUUGGGGUCCGGGGGGAAGGGCGGGUCCUGCCCGCAGCUCUCCGCAAAGCUAGGCGGCGGGGCCGGCGGAGUUCCCACGGGUCGUGGGCGGCGGUGAGAUUAGCACCGUCUGGGUCCCCGGCUGGCGGCGACGCUCCGGGAAGCCCGUCCCGCCCUCGCUCCCGAUCCUCCUCUUGGCGGCUUCGGGGGCUAGAAUUCGUCAGGAACCAAGCCCAAAACUUUCCCUCGAGCCCCGUGUUCCUUUUGUCUUCCUUGGCGGCGGCGGAGACGCCUUAGCUGCGAUCCCUUGUCCUGGCCUCGCUCACCGAGUCUCACCGGUACCCUAGAAGCACAGGGGUGCUGGGGUUCCGCGCGUCCGAUGGCGGCGGCCGCGUCCCCCAGAUGUGCGAGUCAGAGCGCCUGCACCCCGGCCUGACUCAUCCUCCCGCGGUGACCCCACCGCGUCCUCAGCCGGAGCCCCACGGGGAUGGGGAGUGAGACCGCGGCUGCCGGCGGCUGCCCAGAUUCCUCCUGACGCCCCCGACCCCGCCGCCUCUCCCGCUGGUCCCCGGAGACGUACGCCUUCGCGACAGCUAGGAGAGCGAAGAGCCCCGAGAGGCCACCGGAACCCCGAGACCCGGCGCUCAGGACAGACAAGUGGAUACUGAUCUGCCUGGACUGUUGUGAAGAUUAAAUCAGGCAAAACAAGUUACAAAUAUGAGAGCCCAAGAGGAAGCUAUGAUAGCCACUGGUGGGGUCAUCACCGGCCUGGCGGCCCUGAAGCGGCAGGACUCUGCCAGGUCCCAGCAACACAUCAACCUCAGCCCGCUGCCUGCUACCCAGGACCAGAAACCUGUCAGACGGCGCCCGCGAGCUGACGUCGUGGUGGUCCGUGGGAAAAUCCGACUUUAUUCUCCAUCUGGAUUUUUCCUCAUUCUGGGAGUACUGGUGUCCAUCGUAGGAAUCGCCAUGGCAGUCCUUGGAUAUUGGCCCCAGAAGGAGCAUUUCAUCGACGCAGAGACCACUCUGUCCACCAAUGAGACUCAGGUGGUUCGGAACCAGGGCGGUGUGGUGGUGCGAUUCUUCGAGCAGCAUCUACACUCCGAUAAAAUGAAGAUGCUUGGCCCGUUCACCAUGGGUAUCGGCAUCUUUAUUUUCAUCUGUGCCAAUGCCAUUCUUCAUGAGAACCGCGACAAAGAAACCAAAAUCAUCCACAUGAGGGAUAUCUAUUCCACAGUCAUCGACAUCCACACGCUGAGACUCAAGGAGCAGAAGCAAGCGAACGGCCUGUACGCAGGUUUGCUGGGAGAUGCCGAGGUGAAGCAGAACGGAAGCCCCUGCGCAUCCAGGCUGGCUGCCACCACCCUGGCCUCCUUCUCAGGGAUGCGGAACAGCUUUCGUGUGGACAGCUCUGUGGAGGAGGAUGAGCUGAUGUUGACUGAAAGUAAGAGCCCGAGGCACCUCAUGCCCCCAUUGCUUUCUGACAGUGCAGUCUCUGUCUUUGGCCUUUAUCCACCUCCAGCCAAGACCACCGAUGACAAGACCAGCAGCUCCAAGAAGUGUGACACCAAAUCGAUCGUGUCGUCAUCCAUCAGUGCUUUUACGCUCCCUGUGAUCAAGCUUAACAACUGUGUCAUUGAUGAGCCCAGUAUAGACAGCAUCACCGAGGUCGCAGACAACCUCAAAAGUAGGUCCAGGAAUCUUUCAAUGGAUUCCCUUGUGGUCCCACUGCCAAGCUCUGGCGAGCCCGCCAGCACAUUACUCCCAAGGAACAAUUCCGUUGGAGAGUCCCUAUCGAGUCAGUACAAGUCCUCUGUACCCGGGACUGGACAGCUCUUGUCUCCUGGGGCUGCGAGAAGACAGUUUGGAUCCAACACAUCCUUACAUUUGCUCUCUUCUCAUUCCAAAUCCCUAGACUUAGACCGAGGUCCUUCCACACUCACGGUGCAGGCAGAACAAAGGAAGCACCCGAGUUGGCCCCGAUUGGAUCGGAGUAACAGCAAAGGCUAUAUGAGACUAGAGAACAAAGAGGACCCAAUGGAUCGACUGCUCGUUCCUCAAACAGCAAUCAAAAAAGACUUUACGAAUAAAGAGAAACUCCUUAUGAUCUCAAGAUCCCAUAACAACUUGAGUUUUGAACAUGAUGAGUUUUUGAGUAACAACUUGAAGCGAGGAACUUCAGAGACAAGGUUUUAGUGUUUAAAAAAAUAGACCGUGUUCCGUGGAGGUAUAUGCUACUUUAGCCAGUGUGCUCCUCCCUUUUAAAGCAUUGGUCGGAAGCCUUUCAAAAUCAAAUUUCGGUGUGUUAGAAAUAGCUGGUUAAUUCUGUAAUGAAGAUGGCUGUAUGUGUGGGUUCUUUUUCCCUACAAAACUGUAGAUUAUCACGUGAGAUUUUUUUGUUUUCUCACUCUCUGAGAGCAUGGUUUCUUUUGUUAACGUAGAUGCAAAAUACCUGCAUUCAUAUUAAGAACUUGGCUUUACUUUCAAAUUCUAUCACCGAUUAUCAUCUUCAUAGAGUGACCAGUGGCCAGUACAGAAAGCGCAGAGUACCAAAGUGGGCAAGGAACGUUAAAUUCAGGUCCAAUACUCAAUAGACAUAUUUAUAAACGACGGUCUGCACGAAGAAGGCAUACGAGGACAUCUUGCCCCGCGGCUUGUUGGGGUCCCCCUUGCCCAUGAUGACGGCGCAGCGUCUACCUGGUGCGAGCUCUUCCCUCAGACCUCCACAGAGAGACUUCCUUCCCCAAGCUCCGGCGAGAACUGGCUUCUCUGUUUCUCUUCUUAAAGCAUCUCUUCCUGGCUUUCAGACGGCUGCCUUCUAGUGAGAAUUCACGUUGUCCUCACAGGUCUUGUACAUUCUUAGUGUCACUGUAUACAUCCAAAUUUUCUUUUUCUAAGAACAACAGUCAGGGAUGCAUUAGGGCCCACCUCCCAAGAUCCUCGUCCCAAUGCAACCAAGUCAUUAACUAACAGAACUCUCUCUAAAUACAGCUGUAUUCUUUGGUGGGAGGGGGUGAGUGGGUGGAGGGAACUGAGGUCUCAGCCCAGGAACUGGAGGUCAAAGCAUGAUUCAGUCCAUAAUGCUGUGUUCGAGAACAGCCCUUAAAAUGACAGAACUAGGUCAACCCACCUUUAAAUGGCAGGAGGGCAGAUGCUCCUCAUGCUUCAAACCAGGUAAGCUAAUUUGCAUUUGUCUAUAAGCAUUUACUCACUGUGUAAGGUGAUAAAAUAAAGAGAUGACUGUAGGAAGUCUCUAUAGACAGGAGCUUAUUGUUCUUAUACCUCUAACGUGCUUUACAGAAAGCUGCAAACUGCUGCACCAUCUUUAGCUUGGAAUAUUUUUUUCUCUUCUCAUUGGUCCACUGCAGAAUUGUUUUACUGCAGAAUUGGCUGGUUCUUUUUUUUUUUUUUAAUCUUACCUUAAUUGUGUUUAAUAGUUUUGAAAUGUAUAAUCUUUUAGGGCUUUCUCAUUACCAGUACAUAUUUUAUCCCUAGGUUCAUGAUGCAUGUAUAAAAUACUAAUUCAUCAAACUUGUUUGCAGAACACUUGUCCAUUUUACUUAACUGUAGUCAAAGCUAUAGCAUUUCUAGUACAAUAUACAGAAUAAUUUGCUACUGAAAGCAUCUGAAAUUCAGAAGCAAUAAGAUGCUUGAGUCAACACUCAGGGGAAUAUAUAAGUUUAUAGAAAUAUCAGGACCUAUAUCCAUGACUUCUUAUUCUUAAUAGUAAAGGUUUAUUUGAUUUUUGCAGAACUCAGGACAGAGAAAAACAUCUAAAAUAUUGGGAGGAAAGUAACAUAUCUUAGAUAAUAAGGGGUGCAGUAGAGACUGAUCUUAGAGAAAGCACAUAACUUGCAAUUGAAAAUUCUAGUAUUUGUAUUAUCCUUUGAUUUUCUGUAUCUUAACAUAUUAGCUCCCUAACACUGCCAUGAGGGUUAUGCCCAUAAGCUCUCUAAGACCAUGACACUCUUUCAAUGUGAAAGUUUUACAGAACUAAAAAACAUUUCUAUCCACAUUAAACAAACCUCACGUGUAAAAGGAGGCAGGGUAAGGACUGUGCAGUCUGGAGAUGGGAGAGAAGGAGAGAACACCAUAUGUUCUCCUUGCUUACUGAAAACCUAUGUGAGACAAAAAGGCAUUCCAACUAUACUUUAUUUUGGAAUAAAACCAAGAUCAUAAUUUUUUAAUUAUUGAGGUGUGAAAAAAUAUUUUUAGUUGGUUUAAAAGCACAUUUUAUCAGUGUUUCUUAGCCAGCUCACUGAGUCAGUCCUCCUAAGGGCUAAAGACUUGAUCAUUCAUUUGAAAUCGUCCAGGAACAAACCAUCAAUAACUGAAUGCUGUUUGGAAAAUUUUAUAACAAUAAUAAAAUCACUUCUUUUUAUGAACUUAGAUAUUUUCUGUGGUGAUUAGGAGUAUUUUCCCUAAAGCUUUUUCAAAUUCUAAAAUAUGUUUCCUUAUGAUAUCAUUUACUCUGUUAAUAAUCUGGAAAGCCAAAUUAACUUUUCUCUCAAUUCUUGACAAGUCAAGGGAAUCUUUUAAAAAUAUGCUUGCAUUUUAUUUUUAGUUUGUUAGAGAAAAUCAAGAAUGUUGAAUAAAACAUAUAUGAGCAAAAAAUAUGGAGGACAUUGAAAUCUAAGAUCAGGUUCAGCUUAAGUUAUAGUUAAUCCAAGAUCAUAUUCAAUAUAGUCUAUAGUUUUCCCUUUUUGUAUAGUAUGUCCAUUAUCAUCUUAAAAACAUGACCACAUUCUCUUAUGAAUUAUAUGCUCUUUGGCAUAUAAAUACUGCAUGUUGUUUUAUGUUUCCCAGAAAGAUGUUUAGCAACUUACAAAGCAAAUUUAAUAUAAGCCACAUUCUUUUUCUUACUGUACACUUCUACUGGAAAAGAUAUACACUCAGAAAUUAUGAUACAAGAUGCUUAAAAAAACAGUCAAAAUGGUCUGGUCCAGUUCUAAAAAUACUGCCUGGUCUCAAACACGUCAUGGUUAGUGCUUCAUCUAUGAGUCAUCAGAAAUCUUCUCUUAUUUAUAGAUUUGCUUCUAUGAAGCCAGUUUAAUGUCAAUGCUUGCUUACUAGCAAGUAGAGAGAGAGAUAAAAUUCUGUAUUGGUCAUUUUACAAUAAAAUAGUGACACAUGAAAUUACAAGGAAGGCAAGAGAAGACACCUGAAAGAAAAUAGGCGAAUCUUUUCCAUCCUUGAUAUGUGCUACCUUUGGUCUCUCCUACCAAAAGUUGACUCAAUGGUCGGAAUGAGAGUCAUUGUCAAUCCCUCCGUGUCACUGAAUUAUUUAUAUACUGAGAAAUCACAAAAAAAAAUUCUGAAUUGGUUCUAGUGUAUCAGGGUCUUACACAGUGCUGAUAAUACUGUUUCAGUGAAUAGUGAUGGAACCUUAGUCUAUGGUGAGAAACACUAGCUAAAUUUAAUUACCACACACUUAUGAGUCAGUUUAGCACAGACCAUCUGACAAAUAAAACAAAAAGCAUGGGUGGCCGGUUAUAAAAUCUCUGUUAGGGCUGGGCUAACAGUCUUUCACUAGAGUGAGAAUCAGUUACAGGGAUUUAUAGGAGAGACCAACCCAACCCAGUGGCCUUCCUGUUCACUCCAGUCUGUAACCAAAGAGGGAACGAAUGUCAGAAGCUGUAAAUAUCAUUUUCAAAACAAGAUAUAAAAAAUCUUUCUGGAAUGAAAAGGAAUUUUAUUAUGUAAAGAAUGGACAAGAGUUGUUGAAAUUUUAUAUUACCUUAUAUAGCCCCAUAUAGUUUUACUUUAAUCUUCGGGCCUCCUCUCUCUGAGAUAAGAAGAGAGGUUUUCCUUUCAUUGGUUGGUGUUUACAGAGCUUCAGGUUAUCUUCCCUUUCCAAGGCCCUGAGAUUGGUAGGACACAGUUCCUCAUUAUCUAGUCUCACGGGAAUUCUAGUAUUACCUGUUCAUGCAAAUUACCUAAAAUAAAAAUUUGGUCUUAAUUAAACUUUUACACAUUGAAGCGAACCUCAGAUACCAUAAAAGUAAGAAAAAUGAAAUUUCAAAGGCAAACACUUACUCUCGUCAAUAGAGUAGGAAAAAGUAUCUGACUUUAUUAAACUUAGUCUAAACAAAUAAUUUAUAAAAAGACUCUGAGCUCCUUGUGCGCAGUCAUGCGAUUUUGGUUUAUUAUACUCAAACUGACCGUGAGAUCUGCAUUACCCUUGACACCCUGAAGGAAUAUUAAAAAGGAAGAAUGCUCUCUGGUGGAACAACUUGAGGUAGCCCUUGAGGACUUAAGGGAAUUAAGGAAAUGAUUCAAAGACAAUCUCAUACAGAGAAAAUGCAGCCAAGAUCUAGACGUAGUCUAGAAGCACACAUCUCAGGCUAGAUAUGUGACCAGAACUUCAAGUCUGAACUGGACAAGAACAGAAGAUGAGAUGGUAUGUAGACCAGUAAUGACUCAAAGCUGGGCCAAGGAAAGUACGUGCACACGCGCGCGCGCACACACACACACACACACAUACACACACACACACAUACACAUACACACACACACACACACACACACACACACACACACACACACACACUAGCCCAGAGGAAGAGUUCUUGCUUUGCUGAGGUCUCCCUAACCUACAAGACACCAUCUUGUUGCUCUUGUUGUUGUUCUUGUUAUUUUUGUAGCUGUUAUUCGUUUUCUGUUUUGUUUUUUGGGGUUUGUUUGUUUGUUUGUUUUUUCCUUUUCUCCACUACCACUUAACAUUGGACUGGUCUAGAGCUCGGUCCUUUGGUUUUGCUUCUCAAGUUACCAGUUGUAACUGUAAUAUGUUAGCUUUAACAAAUAUCUUAUGCCCAGGACUUUCAAACUCUGUCCACCCUUUUCUUGGUACUGGGAAUAGAAUCCAGAGCCUUCGAUGAGCUAGACAAGGUUUUCCCACAUCUCACCCUAUUCUCUGCUUUAUCAAGACUCUUGUCUUUCCCACUUAGAUGUCUGAUUGAAAUAAAAACUUUAACAUUGAACUCUAGAAGAUCCCCUGUAAAUUUGGCCCCCUGUGUAUUCUGGAUCUUCUCAUUCUUGGCAGCUCUGCUGUUUAAACUCUGACUAUUUAUUGUCAGGGGUCAAUCUUUUCAUUGAGUGUGCUGACUCUUUCAACUCUGUCUCAAGUUCCCUUUUAUAUCAUAAGCUAUAUUACUUUAGCGUUACUUUCAAGAUUUUCUUUAGUUUUUUCUUUUUUCUUUUUCUUUCUUUUUUUUUUUUCAGAGCUGGGGACCAAACCCAGGGCUUUGCACUUGCUAGGCAAGCGCUCUACCACUGAGCUAAAUCCCCAACCCCUUUUCUUUAGUUUUUAUAGAUACCGUUAAAGGUACACCUGGAUAUGGUAAUGAACACUUCCCAGCACCCAGGAGAAGUGGAGACAAAAGCAUCCCUAUUCUUGGCUAUAUUACAAUAUUCUGGCUUACCAAAAAUUAUAUAUGUACAUAGACAUAUUACACAAUGUAUAUGUGUAUAUACAUAUAUAAUAUGUAUUCCUAAUAAAUGUGUAUAUUAUAUACGUAAGUGAUUUACAUACAAUAUAAUACAUACUAUAUUAUAUAUGCAAGUGAUAAACAGUCUGAAAAAGAAGUUAGGUAAAUGGUAUUCUUUACAAUAGCCACAAAUAGCAUAAAAUACCUUGCUGUAAGUCUAAUCAAGCAAGUGAAAGACCUAUAUGAUAAGAACUUCAAGUUCCUGGAGAAAGGAACCAAGAAAGAAAUCAGAAGAUGGAAAGAUCUCCCUUGCUCACGGAUCCGUAGGAUUAACAUAGUGAAAUGGCCAUCUUACCAAAAGUAAUCUACAGACUCAAUGCAAUCCCCAUUAAAGUUCCAACACAAUUCUUCACGGAUCCUGAAAUAGCCAAAAAAGAAAGAAAGAAAAAAAGAAAGAAAGGAAGGAAGGAAGGAAGGAAGGAAGGAAGGAAGGAGAAAAGAAAAAGAAAAUCCUAAACAGUAAGAGAACUUCUGGAGACCUAAAGCUGUACUACAGAGCAAUAAUAGUAAAAACUGCCUGGGAUUGUUAUAGAUGGACCAUGGUGGAUCAAUGGAAUCGAAUCAAAGACCCAGAGAUACACCCACACACCUACAGAUACUUGAUUUUUCACAAAGAAGCCAUACAAUGGAACAGGGAGAGCAUCUUCAACAAUUGGUGCUGGUCUAACUGGAUGUCUGUCUGGAGAAGAAUGCAAACAGAUCCAUAUUUAUCACCCCACACAAAACUUGAGUCCAAAUCAAAGAUCUCGAUGUAAAACCAGACAGACAAUCUAAUAGAAGAGAAAGUGGGAAACAGGCUUGGAUGCAUUGGUACAUCAGACAAUUUCCUGAACAGAACACCAAUGGUUCAGACACUAAGGUCAAAAAUUAAUAAAUGGGACCUUGUGAAACUGCAAUGCUUCUGUAAGGCAAAGGACACUGUCAAUAGGACAAAAUGAUAGCCUACAGAUUGGGAAAAGAUCUUCACUAAUACUUCAUCCGACAGAGGACUAAUAUCCAAAAUAUAUAAAGAACUCAAGAAGUUCGACUCCAAAAAACCAAAUAACUGAAUCAAAAAAUGGGGUACAGAACUAAACUGAGAGUUCCAAACAGAAGAAUCUCAGAUGGCUGAGAAGCACUUAAAGAAAUGUUCAACAUCCUUAGUCACCAAGGAAAUGCAAAUCAAAUUGACACUGAGAUUCCAGCUUAUACCGAUCAGAAAGGCUAAGAUCAAAACCUCAAGCAACAGCACAUGCUGACAAGGAUGUAAAGAAAGAGGAACAUUCCUCUAUCGCUGGUGGGAUUGCAAACUAGUACAUCCUCUCUGGAAAUAAUCUGAUAGUUUCUCAGAAAAUUGGAAAUAGUUCUACCUGAAGACCCAGCUAUACUACUCCUGGGCAUAUACUCAAAAGACGCUCCAACAUAUAACAAGGACACAUGCUCCACUAUGUUCAUAGCAGUCUAUUCCUAAUAGCCAGAAACUGGAAACAACCCAGAUGUCCCUCAACUGAAGAAUGGAUACAGAAAAUGUGGUGCAUUUACACAAUGGAAUACUAUGCAGUUAUUUUAAAAAAAAAAAAAAGGACAUCAUGAAUUUUUCAGGCAAAUGGACAGAACUAGAAAAUAUCCUGAGUGAAGUAACCAAGACCCCAAAGGAUAUGCAUGGUAUAUACUCACUGAUAAGUGAAUAUUGGCCAACAUUUCAGAAUACCUAUUAUAGACCUCACAGACUCAGAGAAGUUAAACAAGAAAGCCCAAGUAAGGAUGCUUCAAUCCCAAUUCCACUUAGACGGGAGAACAAAAUAGUCAUGGAGGCAAAGGGAGGGAGGAACCUGGGACCUGGGUAGGUGAGGGGAGAGACAGGGGAAUGGGGGACAGGAUCAGGCAUAGGGAGAGACAAGAGAGAGGCCCAGAGGACUAGGAGAAUGAAUAGAAAUAUGUAAGCAGCUGCCAGGGGUCAGGGAUGGGGGAUUCUCUAAGAAGUCCCAGAGGUCUGGGAUACGGUAGGCUCUCAGGAGUCAAUGCAGGUGACCUUAACAGGAAUGCCCAACAGUUGGGAUAUGGAACCUGAAAAGACCACCUCUAGUAGCCAAACAGGACCUCCAGUAGCAGUAUGCAGACACUAACCCACUUACAAAACCUUUGGCCAAAAACUGUUCCUGUCUAAAAGAAAUACAAGAGCCAAGAUGGAGCAGAGACAGAAGUAAUGGCUGGACAGUGACUGGCCCAUUUUGAGACCAAGCCCAGGGGCAGGCAUCAAUCCCUCAUACUAUCAAUGAUGCUAUGCUGUGCUUGCCUAGCAUAGCCGUCCUCGGUUGGGAAGCUCUAAACAACAGCUUCCUGACAAAGUUCCAGAUACCCACAGACAAACAUUGGACGGAGGUUGGGGACCCCAUUGGAAGAGUUAGGGUAAGGAUUGAAGACCAGCAAGGAGAUAGUAACUGCACAGGAAGACCAACGGUGACAACUACCUGUACACCUGCAUGCUCCCAGAUACCGAGCCACCAACCAAAGAGCAUACAUGGUCUGGUCUUAGUAAGAGAGGAUGUGCUUAUCCUGCAGAGACUUGAUGCACCAUGGUGGGGGAUACCAAGGCGGAUAUGGGGCUGCCCUCUCAGAGGCAAAAGGGAGGGGAGGAACUGCACAAGGAGGGACCAAGGGUAGCAACAUUUGGGAUAUAAAUAAGUAAAUAAUUAAAAAUAAAUAAAAUGCACACGUUAAAUAUACAUAUAUAUUACACAAUGUAUAUAAUAUGUAUAUAUAAUUUAUAUCAUCUUACUAGUUACAGAAACAUAAUAUGUAGCUUUUUAUAAAAUUCACUAAAAUUUAAUUUUAUUUUAAUACAUUAAAAAUAAGUUUAACAAAUUAAAAAUGAAUUAAAAUAGAAAAUGGACACCCACACUCAUUAAAGAAACUUUAGUAAAGCUGAUAGCAUACAUUGUACCACACACAGUAAUAGUGGGAGACUUCAACACCCCACUUUGGGCAAUAAGCAAAUCAUGGAAACAGAAACUAAACAGAGACACCGAGAAACUAACAGAAGUUAUGAACCAAAUGGAUUUAACAGAAAACUAUAGAACAUUUCAUCCUAAAAGAAAAGAAUAUACCUUCUUCUCAGCACCUCAUGAUACCUUCUCCAAAACUGACCAUAUAAUAGGUCACAAAACAGGCCUCAACAGAUUCAAGAUCAAAAUAAUCCCAUGCAUCCUAUCAGAUCACCAUGAACUGAGGCUGGUCUUCAAUAACAAUAAAACCAACAAAAAGCCCACAUACACAUGGAAACUGAACAACACUCUACUCGUAGAUAACUUGGUCAAGGAAGACAAAAAGACAUUAAAGACUUUUUAGAAUUUAAUGAAAAUGAAGGCACAACAUACCCAAACUUAUGAGACACAAUGAAAGCAGUGCUAAGAGGAAAACUCAUACCUCAAAAAAACAAACAAACAAACAAACAAAAAACCUGAGAGAGCAUAUAUCAGCAGCUUGACAGCACACCUGAAAGCUCUAGAACAAAAGGAAGCAAAUACACCCAAGAGGAGUACACAGCAGAAAAUACCAAACUCAGGACUGAAAUAAACCAAGUAGAAGCAAAAGGAACUAUACAAAAAAAAAAAAAUCAACAAAACCAGGAGCUGGUUCUUUGAGAAAAUCAAUAAGAUAGAUUAAACCCUCAGCCAGACUAACCAGAGGGCACAAAGACAAUAUCCAAAUUAACAAAAUUAGAAAUGAAAAGGGAGACAUAACAGCAGAAACUGAGCAAAUUAAAUAAAAUCAUCAGAUCCUACUGCAAAAGCCAUACUCCACAACACUGGAAAUUCUGGAUGAAAUGCAAAAUUUUCUAGACAGAUACCAGGUACCAAAGUUAAAUCAGGAUCAGAUAAACCAUCUAAACAGUAUCAAAACCACUAAAGGAAUAGAAGUAGUUGUGAAAAGUCUCCCAACCAAUAAAGGCCCAGGACCAGAUGGGUUUAGUGCAGAAUUCUAUCAGACCUUCAAAGAAGACUUAAUACCAAUACCCUUUCAAACUAUUCCACAAAAUUGGAACACUACCCAAUUCAUUCUUUGAAGCCACAAUUACACUUUUACCUAAACCACACAAAGACCCAACAAAGAAAGAGAACUACAGACCAAUUUCCCUCAUGAAUUUUGAUGCAAAAAUACUCAAUAAAAUUCUCGAAAACUGAAUCUAAGAAUACAUCAAAACAAUCAUUCACCAUAAUCAAGCAGGCUUCAUCCUAGGGAUGCAGGGAUAGUUCAAUAUAUAGAAAUCCAUCAAUGUAAUCCACUAUAUUAACAAGCUCAAAGAAAACCCACAUGAGCAUCUCAUUAGAUGCUGAGAAAGCAUUUGACAAAAUUCAACACCCCUUCAUGAUAAAAGUCUUGGAAAGUGCUGAGAGAUUUCUGAGUGGCUAAGAGCGCUGACUGUUCUUCCAGAGGUCCUAAGUUCAAAUCCCUGCAACCACAUGGUGGCUCACAAUCAUCUGUAAUGGGAUAUGAUGUCCUCUUCUGGUGUGUCUAAGCUACAGUGUACUCAUAUACUUCAAAUAAAUAAAUCUUUUAAAAAAAUGUCUUGGAACGAGGAAUUCAAGGCCCAUACCUAAACAUAGUAAAAGCCAUAUACAGCAAACCAGUAGCCAACAUUAAACUAAAUGAAGAGAAACUUGAAGCAAUCCCACUAAAAUCAGGGACUAGACUAGAAUGUCCACUUUCUCCCUACCUAAUCAAUAUAGUAUUUGAAGUCCUAGCCACAGCAAUUAGACAACAAGAAGAGGUCAAAGGAUACACAUUGGAAAAGAAGAAGUCAAAAUAUCACUAUUUCAGAUGAUAUGAUAGAAUAUUUAAGUAACCCCCAAAAUUCCUUGAUGAUAAUGGACUGAACCUCUGAACCUGUAAGCCAGCCCCAAUUAAAUAUCAUCUUAUAAAAGUUGCCUUCUCAUAGUGUCUGUUCACAACUGUAAAAUCCUAAGACAGAACCUUAGCCCAGGUGACCGUGCUUUGCUUGGGUUUAUUGAGCCCUGGUACAGAGCUCAGGCUGAACCAACAGCCUCCUGUACAUUUUGUUUUAUACAUUUAAGUUAACAUUACCUAGUAACAAGACACAAGCUAAUUACACCUGCUCUGCCUGUAACUAUUAGUGUUUGAAUCAACCAAUGAAUAACUCCAUUGGUAUACAAGAACAGGUAAGCUUAACUCAGUUUAUGCCAAUAAUGGAAACCGUAAGCCUGUGCUCCUGUGCUCAGGAGAGCUAGAAGGCAACUGAGGCCAAGAGCCAAGGGCCCAGAAGAGAUAGUGGAAUCCAAGGAAAGUGAACUGGUUUGCAGAGAACAGAAGUGGUCUGAAUCUUGGGCUCCCAUUUCCAACAGUUCCUAAAAACAGUUCUUUGGCUGCUGUCCAUGGGAAACCUACUUUCUAGUUUGAAGAAAGUAGGGCCCUGAGGGGAAGCAGGGCCAACAGGGUACAGACCACUUCUCUGGCAUCUCAAACAUCUUGGGGUCUCCAAGGCAACUUCAAUGUUACAGCUUCUUGUUUCAGUGUCUGGGAUCCACACGUGAUCUUCUAGGUUACUCCAAAUGGCUUGGGCCAUAUCUCCAGUUCUGCCCUCUAUAGCAAUCUAAGCUCAGGUUGAUCCACUCCACGGCUGCUGUUCUUGAUGAUCUUCUCAGGGUACUGGCAUCUGCAAUACGCUGGGGUCUUCUGCUGUACCUAGGUUUCACCAAUUGUCUCUCGUAGGCUCUUUUCAUGGUGCCAAGUCUCAGCUCCUUUGCAUGACCCCUUCAGUCCUGGCCUGCAAACUGCAACUGAGGCUGCACCUUCACCAGUGGUCUUCCAUGGCCUCUCACAGUGCCAAACCACAGCUGCUCUUCGUGACCCCUUCAUGUCCUCAAACCCAGUACCAUUUGGGUGACUCCCACACAUUACCAAGUAUAGCUACAGCACAAGGUGCAAUCUUGGCUAUCUCUGGAACACAGCUUCUUUGUGCUCUCAGAAAACACUUUCCAGAAGAUUUCACCUCAGUGAUGCUGGUCUCUUUUUUAUCACCACUAAUUUCUUAGCUCCAGCUAACCAGCGCCAAUUGUCCCAGUAGUCCCUUCUAUUCUGGACUCUAAAAUCCAGAGCCACUUGGCCAAAACUGCCACGUGCUGCUGCUUGCUGAAGUUGGAACACACACACCCGCCCCUUAUUCUUUUACCAGCUUUCGGUUUUCUAGCUCCCUCACUGACUAAGUUUGGUUAUCCUGGAACUUGCUCUCAGAGAGCUGCAUGGCUCUAUCUUCUGUGAUUAAAGGUAUGUACCACCAGGCCUGAAUUUAAACAUUUCUUUACCUAGAACUUGCUCUGUCCCAGGCUGGCCUUGGACUCAGAGAUCUACUUUGUCUCUUGGGAUCAAAGGUGUAUAGCACCAGGCCUGCACCUAAAUUUAGCUAGGUGGGAUCUUACCCCAAAGUUACCACUCCCUUAAUUCAAUUUAAUAUCCUUGAACACAGGAUUCAACUCCAUUUCACUUCCUGGUGCCCCUUUAAUACUAAAAUCAUGUAUUUUAUAUUUUCCCUUUCUAAGCUUGCUAUGCUUAUUCAAAACAUUCUUCCUGGAACUGAACCAGAGAACAAAGUCUAUGAUGGGCAUUUCUGAGACUUCCUUUGUCAAUGCAAUUAAUCUGAGUUUCUUCACCUUAGCUUCAGGCAGACUCUUUGGGCAAGGGCAAAAAGCAGCCACAUUCUUCACCAAAAUACUACAAAAACAGUCUCUGGGCCACAUACUGAAGUUCUUUUCCACUGCAUGCUCUUGGGCCAGGUCUACACAGUUCAAACCACUCACAACAACAAUGUCUUCCAUAUUCCUACUAGGAUAUCACAUUAAGCCCCACUUAAAACAUUCAAUAGCUUUCCAAAUCCAAAGUCCCCAAAUCCACAUUAUUCCAAACAAAAGCAUGGUCAGGCCUAUCACAGCAAUACUCCAGUCCCUGGUACCAACUUCUAUCUUAGUUAGGGUUUUACUGCUCUGAAUGGACACCAUAACCAAGGCAACUCUUAGAAGGACAACAUUUCACUGGAGCUGGCUUACAGGUUCAGAGGUUCAGUCCAUUAUCAUCAAGGUGGGAGCAGGGCAGAAUCUAGGCAGGCAUGGUGCAGGAGGAGCUGAGAGUUCUACCUCUUUAUAUGAAGGCAAACAGGAGAAGACUGGCUUUCAGGCAGCUACUUUGAGGGUCUUAAAGCCCAUACCCACGGUAACACACCUCCUCCAACAGGGCCACACCUUCAAGUAGUAUAACUCCCUAGGCCAAGCAUAUACAAGUCAUGACAGGUUCCAUACCAGCAAACUGGAGCUGAGUUGUUUGGCUUUCUGAGAAAUAAGAGAACAGAGAGAGCUAAGUCCUCUAGGGGCCAGGGAUAGUACAAUUCAGGCAAUCUCUCCAUUUUAACCCUAUGUCAAAAUGACCAAUCCGCCUUUAUUAUCUGUUCUGAUUUCUUUGGCCUUUUGCCUGCAAAAACACCCUCCCCACUCUUAUGAAAGAACUUUCUAAGCUUCAUAUGAGAUGUUGCCUUUACUCACAAGUGUCUCAGAUAAAAAGCUGGCUUAUUUAAAUUUGGUCUUCUGGUAUUAUGUAGACCGUAUAUAAUGAAGCCAAGGUUUUUGCUUUAGAACCUUAUAGCAAUGUGGACAUGUUAUUAGCAUUAGACAAGCUGGAAAUAAGUAAAUUAAGCCCUUUGCUGUGUAUGCUCAAUAAAAUCCAAAUUUUCUAAAA